rnacentral:rRNA from 1 species
CCAAUUGCGAAGGCAGCUCACUAAACUAUUACUGACGCUCAUGAACGAAAGCGUGGGGAGCAAACAGGAUUAGAUACCCUGGUAGUCCACGCCGUAAACUAUGAUCACUAGAUGUUGGCGAUAUAUUGUCAGUGUUUUAGAGAAAUCGUUAAGUGAUCCACCUGGGGAGUACGUUCGCAAGAAUGAAACUCAAAGGAAUUGACGGGGGCCCGCACAAGCGGAGGAGCAUGUGGUUUAAUUCGAUGAUACGCGAGGAACCUUACCAAGACUUAAAUGUAUUUUGACAGGUUGAGAAAUCAACUUUUCUUCGGACAAUUUACAAGGUGCUGCAUGGUUGUCGUCAGCUCGUGCCGUGAGGUGUCGGGUUAAGUCCCAUAACGAGCGCAACCCCUAUUUUUAGUUACCAGCGAGUCAUGUCGGGAACUCUAGAAAGACUGCCUGUGUAAACAGUGAGGAAGGUGGGGAUGACGUCAAAUCAUCACGGCCCUUAUGUCUUGGGCUACACACGUGCUACAAUGGUCACUACAGUGGGCUGCCACCUGGCAACAGAGAGCAAAUCCAUAAAGGUGAUCCCAGUUCGGAUCGGAGUCUGCAACUCGACUCUGUGAAGUUGGAUUCGCUAGUAAUCGUAUAUCAGCAAUGAUACGGUGAAUACGUUCCCGGGCCUUGUACACACCGCCCGUCAAGCCAUGGAAGUUUGUGGUGCCUGAAGUCAGUAACCGUAAGGAUCUGCCUAGGGUAAAACAGAUAACUAGGGCUAAGUCGUAACAAGGUAACCGUA